UACGAAGGGUGCAAGCGUUGCUCGGAAUUAUUGGGCGUAAAGGGUAGGUAGGUGGUAAUAAAAGUCUGGGGUGAAAUCCCUGAGCUCAACUCAUGACGUGCCUUGGAAACUUUAUUACUAGGGUGCUGGAGGGGUCCGCAGAAUUCCCGGUGUAGCGGUGAAAUGCGUAGAGAUCGGGAGGAAUACCAGAGGCGAAGGCGGCGGACUGGACAGCAACUGACACUCAACUACGAAAGCGUGGGUAGCAAACAGG
rnacentral:rRNA from 1 species